rnacentral:rRNA from 1 species
UACAGAGGGUGCGAGCGUUGUUCGGAAUUACUGGGCGUAAAGCGCGCGCAGGCGGCUCCUUAAGUCCAUCGGUCAAAUGCCGGGGCUCAACCCCGAGCGUGCCGAGGAUACUGGGAGGCUGGAGACACGGUAGAGGCAAGCGGAAUUCCGGGUGUAGCGGUGGAAUGCGUAGAGAUCCGGAAGAACACCGGAGGCGAAGGCGGCUUGCUGGGCGUGAUCGUGACGCUGAGGCGCGAAAGCGUGGGGAGCGAACAGG